CUGAUGAUGUGACUCCAUAAGGAGAGGGGAAAAUAUUGAAAAUCGUGCCUCUUUCAUUGCCAGAAACUUCUUCAAAAUGGAGGGGAGGAUGAAGAUGUUUAUUGCAUAUUUUGUAUCGAUACUCAGUUACAGAGAGUUCAUUUUACUAUUACGAGACAGGAGUCUUUUGGCUCCCUGCCUAUUACAGUAAAUACCAACAUUGGCGCACCAUUGUGGAGAUUGAAUGCUCCCAGCCCUCGGGCAGAAGGUUUAUAAACUUUGUGCCAAGACUGAGACUCCCAGACAAAGAAGAUAUGUCUCUGUCUGUGUGAUUCAGCAAGGAAGAGUCUUGAAAAAGUCUCCAGCAGCACAAAUAAAGAUGAGAGGAGUAUUCACAAUUCGCACUUCUGAGAUUGAAAUACAGUGUCCUGCCAUUUCUUUAUAUCCUGACAGAGCAAAGAGUCUCCUGGAUGCAUCCCACUGAACCAAGAGCUGCAGCGUGAUGCCCAGACUGUUGCUCUGAAGGACUCAUCCUCCAUCUCAGCUGAGAACAACAAAGACACUCCUGCACACAAGUAGUGACUUCAUGUCCACUCUAACAAUAACUCACUUUUGCUAUGGAAGCGGCAUAUGGACUUUCAACAAAAACACAUUAUGAAACAACUUACAAUCCACAGAGAGAGAGAGGACCAGAGAAGAUGUGCCUGGGAUCACCACACACAGCUGCAAGAGCACCAGCUGCAUGACCCGCAUCUGAUCAUCAGUCCUGCUGCCACUCACCAGCCAAGCAGCUUCCAUGAUUGCCUAAAUGGUGCAGUACCAUCAGCACCAAAUGCCACAGUCUUCAGCCUCGCCUGUACUCUGAUUCACUACAUCAAAAAAAAAAAAAAUAAAAUAAAAACAUUGCCUUUGUGAAUGACUUCAUUACAAGAAUAUCUUUCAAGAAGAGCAACAUAAGAACACAACAACGGUAUCGGGUCAAACAAAAGAUCCAGUUAGACUGAAGCCUCUCAAAAAAGGAUAAGAAGAGGGCAAGCAUAUGUGGUGCUUUCCCCAGACUUUCUUUUAGCCUUCAAUCAUUUGUGUUGAGUCCAUAGACUCCUGGAGAAAGGUGUGGCUUCUGUGUAUUUAGUAAUGUUCAACAGGAAUUUCUGUCAUUAAUCUGUCCGGCUUUGCCAUGUAACAUAUUUUGUAGGACACAUUUAACACCAGCUAAAUUAUGCAUUUUAAACACUUGGAUUGGAAACUCUCUGGGCACAGCCCAUCCAUUUGUUCCUGAUUGUUCAUUGUUUAGCACAUUGAUCCAUGACUAAGGUUACUAGGUACUACAGCAAUACAGCACAGCUUGCUAACAAAUGAAACUAACCUCAACAGACAACAUGGAAAUGAAACAGAUGAGAGAACUCCAGAAAGUUCAAUAACUAUGAAAACAACCCAGUAAUAGCUCAGUAGAGUAUUUCAAGUUUCUUACAGUUCAGAGAAAUUAGGGUGGCAUCAGAAAGCAACAGCUUUUUUUACAGCAACAACAAAAACAACAAUGAAAAACUACCUUAAUAGAAGUCACAGCACUUUUUUUGGGAAUAAGAAGAAAGAGUAAAUGAGCUUUAUGCCAUGAUUCCAUUUUUUAAGUUAAUAGCCUAAAAAAUUAAUUUCAAUCAUUCUACAGAGUUUUUCCCCAUUUUUUUUUUAAAGAAGGUGAAAUGAAUACUUCAGAAUGUUAAAUCUUUUGAUCACUGCAGAGGUGGAAUAAGCCUCAUUUUGUUUCUCUUGAACUACUUUUCACUUACAUGAAGGCUAUUCUGUAAUUGUUAAAAAAAAAAAAAAAAUCAGACUGUAUUUGAAAGAUCUACUUUAUUAGCAAUAUCUAGCUCUGUUAAAGUCCGUAUAAUCACAACCCAUUACUGUAACUGUUUUGAUGCUCUCCUGUAUCAUUUCAAAGUCCAUGUAGCCUUUCUUCAAAGUAAUACUCACUUCUGAGUUAAUUUUGAACUAAUAAUAAAAGUAUUUCUUCGAACA
rnacentral:lncRNA from 1 species